CGGGUGAAAGAUACAUCGGUAUCCGUGCGCUUGCGGAUUUUUCUGUUUGCGUUUAAAAUACCCAACAAGCUUUCUGGCGCCGUUGCCGGGGAACGGUAGCUGUGCUAGUUUCGAACCAAGUCGUCCGUGUAUCCUUUUUCUUUUCCUUUUUUUUACCACACUCACCUUAUCAUUUUCACCAUACCACAUGGAUUUCACUCUAAGCAUUAAUGAGCAUGGAAUUUAUUUCAUAGCCACUUCAUUUACUCCAUGCUCAUAUGCAACAUCUUCAUAAUCCAUUGGUCUCUCCAACAUCACCAC
rnacentral:lncRNA from 1 species